rnacentral:rRNA from 1 species
CGGGGCAUUGCCUCAGUAACGGCGAGUGAAGCGGCAACAGCUCAAAUUUGAAAUCUGGCCCCAGGCCCGAGUUGUAAUUUGCAGAGGAUGCUUUUGGUGCGGUGCCUUCCAAGUUCCCUAGAACGGGACGCCAGAGAGGGUGAGAGCCCCGUACAGUUGGACACCAAGCCUUUGUAAAGCUCCUUCGACGAGUCGAGUAGUUUGGGAAUGCUGCUCAAAAUGGGAGGUAUAUUUCUUCUAAAGCUAAAUACCGGCCAGAGACCGAUAGCGCACAAGUAGAGUGAUCGAAAGAUGAAAAGCACUUUGAAAAGAGGGUUAAACAGCACGUGAAAUUGUUAAAAGGGAAGCGCUUGUGACCAGACUUGCGUCCGGUGAAUCACCCAGCUCUCGCGGCUGGGGCACUUCGCCGGCUCAGGCCAGCAUCAGCUCGCUGUCGGGGACAAAAGCUUCAGGAACGUAGCUCUCUUCGGGGAGUGUUAUAGCCUGUUGCACAAUACCCUUCGGCGGGCUGAGGUACGCGCUCCGCAAGGAUGCUGGCAUAAUGGUCAUCAGCGACCCGUCUUGAA